AAAACCUUAUAGUAUAUAACAAAUAAUUACUGUAAACUGCAACUUUACUGAAGCUUUAAUGCUAAGGUUUUG
rnacentral:tRNA from 1 species